rnacentral:lncRNA from 1 species
UUUCACACUAAAAACAAACCAAAUAUUCCACAUAACGUGAGCACGUAACAUACCACCCGGCGCACAUUAACACCAUCACUUAAUCCAGCGCCACUUGGCUGAUCACUCACCGGCGGCGUAAGGCUUCCAUCACCGUUCGCCGGAGGCUCAACAUACGGCGGCGGCGGAGGUUGAUUAAGACUCGGCGGAAGUCCGACGCCAUGAGUGACGUUGAUCCCGAACGCCAUCCCGUUCUGGCACUGAACACCGUCACUAGCAUCGGAGAAGAAGUAGUUUGCGCCUUCGAUAGUCAACGGAACCGCUACGGUCAACGGCUGCCCGAACUGCUGGUUCCCUGAACUGUAACUGAAUGUAUCACUAUCUGAUGAGUUAUCGAUGCUGCAGCUACGGUAACCAGUGACGAAGGAGUUUGCUGCUUGGGAACGAGUAGUGUCUGUCCACCCUUGUGUCGGGUGUUACCUUAUUUUGAACUAUGAACUUUGUUUAAACUACCUUACUUAUGCUUCCGCUACUUAUUACUGUGUGAACUUGAAACCUUAAACUCUGAACUUAAUAUUUGCUAAUCUUAUGGUUAGUAAGUAUUACUUUUUGUUACCAAUUUAAUUAUUCAGUAUGAUUGAUGGCUGGAUCCUGGUCAGUCACGCCCUCGAAGCGGGUGUUACCCGCAGGUGGAAUUUGGGGGUGUGACAUUUUAC